UGCAUAUCCAUAAGCGGAGGAAAAGAAACCAACCAGGGAUUGCGUUAGUAGCGGCGAGUGAAGCGGCAAAAGCUCAAAUGUGAAAUCUGGCGCAUUCGGUGUCCGAGUUGUAAUUUGAAGAUUGUAACCUUGGGGUUGGCUCUUGUCUAUGUUUCUUGGAACAGGACGUCACAGAGGGUGAGAAUCCCGUGCGAUGAGAUGCCCAAUUCUAUGUAAGGUGCUUUCGAAGAGUCGAGUUGUUUGGGAAUGCAGCUCUAAGUGGGUGGUAAAUUCCAUCUAAAGUUAAAUAUUGGCGAGAGACCGAUAGCGAACAAGUACAGUGAUGGAAAGAUGAAAAGAACUUUGAAAAGAGAGUGAAAAAGUACGUGAAAUUGUUGAAAGGGAAGGGUUUGAGAUCAGACUCGAUAUUUUGUGAGCCUUGCUUUCGUGGCGGGGUGACCCGCAGCUUAUCCGGCCAGCAUCCGUUUGGGCGGUAGGAUAAUGGCGUAGGAAUGUGACUUUACUUUGGUGAAGUGUUAUAGCCUGCGUUGAUGCUGCCUGCAUAGACCGAGGACCGCGAUUAUGCAAGAUGCCUGA
rnacentral:rRNA from 1 species